rnacentral:rRNA from 1 species
CUCCUACGGGAGGCAGCAGUGAGGAAUAUUGGUCAAUGGGCGAGAGCCUGACCCAGCCAAGUAGCGUGCAGGAAGACGGCCCUAUGGGUUGUAAACUGCUUUUAUAAGGGAAUAAAGUGAGUCUCGUGAGACUUUUUGCAUGUACCUUAUG